CGUUCCGUUUAUUUCGCAUCGAGGCGCUAUCGAAGCUGGACGUGUGUUUUCUCUCCUCAUCGUGGUCGUCGUCGCGUUGAAUCGCGUGAGUUUCGUUGUUCCCCGUAGAGUUCAGCGUAUAGGUGGCGGUAAGCAGCGGCCAGUGUUGUUGGUGAACUCUUUAUCGUGCAAUCAGAUGGAUACUGUUGUUGAACGUGAUUUUCGGCAGAUACAGAGGCACUGUGCGGUUCGGACGUUGUUUCUUUCGUUGUUCCUUGGGAAAUUGGAAGAUCUUGGUAGCUAAUGAAUUUUAAUGGUUGGUGGUGCUCCGAAGAAGGAAGAAAACGUUAGGAAUUGCAAGUUUAUGGGGAAAUCGAAAAUUUGAUGGCUUUUCGCAGAAUGGCAGGGUAUUAAUUCGGAAAUACAAGACAGAACGCGCUAAGGUCUUGAGUGAUACGUGUUAAUCCUGGCCCAGUGGUCUGUCCGGUCAAGUAGGGAGAAACUGGAAAGAAGAAUUUAAGUCGUCGCCCGUCAGAAUCCGGUGCGGUGAAAAGGUGGAUAUUUUAUAGUGGUUCCGAGUUCAGCCGGAGGCAAACGAGAACGAAGAGAUUUGGUCCAUGCUUUGAACUUCUUGUGCCAAAGAAGCAGGAAAAGGUGCAAAGGCGAAAACAUACGGAAUUUGUACUUGGCCAUACGAGUUGUAUGUGUGUUUAUGGUGGAACGAAUGUGGCGUGGUGUUGCUCCAGUGGGAUUGUACUGAAGAGAAAGACACCGUUACCAAUCGCACGACCCACCAAUAGCAAUUCCCGUAUGGAUAUCCAGAAGCGUUGGCGUGAUAGCAACAAAAGAAGCGGCUUGGAGCUUUGAGAAUUGUAAUUCAAUUUCGAUAUUCGUGUCGCUGUUAAACGAAAGGUCACCUUUAGUUCCAAAAGUUAACACUCCGGUUUAUGUGUGGAUCAAGUUGACAUUAAACAACAAAGUGAACCAAGUGAGAAGUUAUCUAAUCCUCUGGUGGAAGUUAGUCUUGUAUGAAUUCAAACGACCGUCUCUCGCGCAGCGUUUAUUACGAUCGGUUUCAAUUAUUCAAUACAAAACCAUACCUAAACAGCAACUAAAAGUUUUUAUUUCUGGUCACAAUCGACUGAACCCGUUCGCGUAGAGGUGUCUUGAAGCAAAAUUGGAAGGAAGAAAAGUGCUGCCCGGAUUCCGGUCCGUGGUCAGUCUCAGUCGCCCAUCGUCAGUGGCGCGCGAAAAUAAAAGUGAAGAAAAAGGCAAACUCGAAUCAACUCGACUCUGUUGUUUGUGCCCAAUUUAUUAAACUAGGCUUAUUUUGGACUAUCACACUCAACAGUGCACCAUUCCGGGGGCUGCUUGGAUUGGAUAACGUAGACUUGUUCAGUGCAGAGCUCGAUUCAGGUGUGCCUGUCAACGAUCAAUUCGACGCGGUCUGAGCAGCAGCAUUCCGAGUACCUAGUAGUAGCAGCAGCAG